GAUGAACGCUGGCGGCGUGCCUAAUACGUGCGAGUCGAGCGAACAGACGAGGAGCUUGCUCCUCUGACGUUAGCGGCGGACGGGUGAGUAACACGUGGAUAACCUACCUAUAAGACUGGGAUAACUUCGGGAAACCGGAGCUAAUACCGGAUAAUAUAUUGAACCGCAUGGUUCAAUAGUGAAAGACGGUUUUGCUGUCACUUAUAGAUGGAUCCGCGCCGCAUUAGCUAGUUGGUAAGGUAACGGCUUACCAAGGCAACGAUGCGUAGCCGACCUGAGAGGGUGAUCGGCCACACUGGAACUGAGACACGGUCCAGACUCCUACGGGAGGCAGCAGUAGGGAAUCUUCCGCAAUGGGCGAAAGCCUGACGGAGCAACGCCGCGUGAGUGAUGAAGGUCUUCGGAUCGUAAAACUCUGUUAUUAGGGAAGAACAAAUGUGUAAGUAACUAUGCACGUCUUGACGGUACCUAAUCAGAAAGCCACGGCUAACUACGUG
rnacentral:rRNA from 1 species